rnacentral:rRNA from 1 species
AUUGAACGCUGGCGGCAUGCUUUACACAUGCAAGUCGAACGGUAACAGGUUAAGCUGACGAGUGGCGAACGGGUGAGUAAUGCAUCGGAACGUGCCCGGUCGUGGGGGAUAACGCAGCGAAAGCUGCGCUAAUACCGCAUAGAUCUAAGGAUGAAAGCGGGGGACCGGAAGGCCUCGCGCGAUCGGAGCGGCCGAUGUCAGGGUAGGUAGGUGGUUGGGUAAAGGCUCACCAAGACAACGAUCUGUAGCUGGUCUGAGAGGACGACCAACCACACUGGGACUGGGACACGGCCCAGGCUCCUACGGGAGGCAGCAGUGGGGAAUUUUGGACAAUGGGCGAAAGCCUGAUCCAGCAAUGCCGCGUGCAGGAAGAAGGCCUUCGGGUUGUAAACUGCUUUUGUACGGAGCGAAAAGGUCUCCUCUAAUACAGGGGGCUCAUGACGGUACCGUAAGAAUAAGCACCGGCUAACUACGUGCCAGCCGCCGCGGUAA